GUGGAUUAGAUACCCUGGUAGUCCACGCUGUAAACGAUGAAUACUAGGUGUGGGGGGACUGACCCCUUCCGUGCCGCAGUUAACACAAUAAGUAUUCCACCUGGGGAGUACGAUCGCAAGAUUGAAACUCAAAGGAAUUGACGGGGGCCCGCACAAGCAGUGGAUUAUGUGGUUUAAUUCGAAGCAACGCGAAGAACCUUACCAGGGUUUGACAUCCAACUAACGAAGCAGAGAUGCAUUAGGUGCCCUUCGGGGAAAGUUGAGACAGGUGGUGCACGGCCGUCGUCAGCU
rnacentral:rRNA from 1 species